GCCGCGCCGCGCUGCCCGCUCGCACCUACCAUUCUGGACGAACUCAUCCGUGGAUACGCCGCGCUCGUCGGCGUGGUCCCCUCCAUGAAGGCCUUCUCGUCCUUCCCGGACUCCAUGUCUCACCACCUCCCGCGCCACCGCUCCUCCGUCCACGACUCGCUCUUCUCCUUCCGCAUCCCCGACCCGUCCUCCCCACGCCGCGCCUUCCUCUACGGCUUCGUCUUCAACCGCCAGCGCCAGGAUGAGCGACUCCCCCGCGAUGGCGAGCAGAAGUCCGUAGUCAUCCUCUCCCACGCCCCCUACUCCUCGCUCUUCAGCCUGCUGCUGCAGAUCCUCGGCCCGCUCUGCUUUGACUUUGGCCCUUCCGCACUGGCCAUGGUGGCGUCGCACGUUGCUGUGUGGCCGGCGCCAGGUCACCCAAUGGAGCUUCCAAUUGACAGUGCCGCGCUGCGCGUGCACCUCCCGCCUGCGCUGCUGCCUGCCAACCCCUCGCGUGCACUUCCCGCCUGCAGUUCAUCAAUGGUUUGGCAGCUAGAGGUUUACGGAAGUUUUUGUCCAAAAGGAUGAGGUCCAAUAGGUUGGACCUAUAUAGGAGAUUUCUCGAAGGCCCCAAUUUUAUGCCUUGGUUCCGGCAAAGACGUGCUGCUGCGGAGCAAGAACAGCAGAGGCUCUGGAGGCAGGCUCGCAUGAAUGUUGACAUUGAAAAACUAAUGUCAAAUAUGUCCGAAAUAGAGAGGAUUGAUUCUUUUGAUGCUGUUGAGCGUUAUCUUCUCAGAGAGAUGGAGGUAACUUUCUUAGUCACAUGUUUCCUUAAAAAAUCUGACCUACUCCCUCCGUCCACAUGAUUUAGUCGUUUUGGGUUUGUCCUAAGUCGAUUAUUGUCAACUUUGACCGGUUAUAUCGGAUGUUUCAUAAGACUUUACAACAUAAAAGCAAAGUUACUAGAUUCUUCAUGACUUGAACUACCAUAAUAUGUAAUUCUUUUAGUUCAAAAUAAUUUAAUCUUGUAUAUAUUGUUGGUCAAAGCUAAAAUAGUUUGACUUAGGAUAAACUUAAAACGACUAAAUCAUGUGGACGGAGGGAGUACUAAGUUUUGCAAUUUUUUAACAUGUCAGCAUUACAUUACUAAGGCAUUUAUUCAGCAAGUGAGGUGCGCAACCUUAAGUUUGAUCACCCGGACAAGUUCUGUGUUCUGAUAAAUAUAAUGUCAAGAAUAGUUCAGAAUGCAACAUAUAUCAAAUAACGUAGGAAAAAAUUGCAUAUAUUUUUGUUGAUGAACUUGUCACCGAAGACUGCAAACUUAUCCUAACAUGAAACAUAAAUAAGACUUAACUGUAUGAUUCUAGACUUUCUUUUGUUGAGACUGCUUAAGUUGGAGUUAGACUCAAGUACUAAGAAAUAUACUUUUCCACAAUAAUUCAUAUAGCAUGAAUACUUAUUACUAUGUUUUAGAAGGUUAAUAUUUUACCAAUCCGGAGCUAAUAAAAGCAAUGUUAACUACCUCUUUGUUUGAACACCAUGUUGGGUAAUGUUUGAAUGACUAUUCUACUGUACAGGAUUACAUGACUAUAUAUUAAUCAUAGGUUCUGUUUUUUAUUAUUCUAUAUUGCCAAUAGAGGAAUACUGUAUUUUCUAAAAUCUUGUAGUGGCCUUCAUCGGUAUCAUCAAUAAAGUAACAAAAAAUGAUGUUCCUUAUGGAUAAUGGUUGAUAAGCUAAAAACUGUAAUCUGUGCACAAAUAUUUCUGGACUAACUAAUUCCCAAUAUAUGUUCUCUGAUCCAAAGUCUGUUAAUUUUCUGACUUCACAGGUUCACAUUGAUGGUUUAUAGCUUAGCUUUUAGCCAUUCACCAUCUUGGACUUUAUAACCAUCUGGCAGUUAUUGAUCUAUCACUGCCUUACUACAUGUUACCUAUCUGGCAGUUAUUGAUCUAUCACUGCCUUACUACAUGUUACCUAUCUGGCAAUUAUGAGAUGCCUAUUCUUUUCAUAUGUAAAUCCUAAAAUAUUCGAAUCCAUUUUAUAUGUAAAUCCUAAAAUUUUCGAAUCCAAAGCCACCAAUUACAAUAUUAUGUACUGAAAUUAUACCUUUUACUUAUGUGUCACUCUGCAUUUUUUUAAGAUUCAAAAAAUGCCUUCCUUAUUUUAUACACGGUUAAACACCAACCUUCAUGAUUCACUGGAUCUUCUUAGUAUUAUCUCUAACAAAAAAAAUAAAGUUCUUUCCCCACAAAUGCAAAUAUAGGUAUUAACUUAUUGAUUUUAAAUUGGUUAUUAAAUGUCUGGCAUGGAUCUCCUCCCUGCUCACGGGCCUCACCGUCCUCAAUAGCGAGUGUAGCCUCAAACUUCGCACCAACACACUCGACAAGCUUGAUGGCGACCCCUACGUCAACAUCCGCAUGGGCAAGGUCAUGUAAUUUCUAUCUUAAUUUCAAUAGUGAUUUUAGCAGAUGGAAAUUUUAAAAUUUUGGCAGUGAGUAUGCAACACUUCCAAGAAAUGCAUAAUGUAUUAAUGUGGGGCUGUGGGUGUUGGAACGUGCGUGUUGACUAGCUUUGAUUAGCUUGUCGAUAUACAUACUUAGCCAUCUAUUUUUUCUUCUCCUUUCAAAUGCUAUGCUAUUGCUACUGUUGUUGGAGUGUACAAUUUAACUUGAUAUAUGAUUUAAUAGAUGCUUUGUGUGCAUAAAUCGUCUACAGUUACCAUCUGCACUUUUUAGCCAUGUUUGAGAGAUGUGAUGGAGUUUGGAUUUCACUUAAAAAUGCAGGUCCAGUUGAUGUUUAAUGUGCCUGAACUGCAGUUGCAGUCAUAAAGCUCAAACAAUCUUGAGCAUUUGGUUUUACAUUAUAUUCUCUGGUUUCUGUUUUUGUGAUUUGUGUUCUGAUGAUGCAAACACUUCCAUUUUUAUGUUACUCAUGCACAAGAUUUCCUGCACAACCAACUGUCUUUUGAAUUCUUUUUGUUAUUUGAUCCAGGGAGUGGACACAAUCAGGCUCUUGCGCAAUUAUCCCCUGAAUUUACUACCUGUAGUUUCGAAAUGGACUUACCCAAAAAAUAUUUGCACUAAGAAUAUUUAUGUUUGUUUAGUUGGUCUGGACAAACCACAAGAUCAGUUUAAGCAUUGCUUCCAAAUGCCAUUAAAUAUUUAUCUUGACUGAAAAUUCGCACACAAGAAUAGUAAUAUUCUAUGACCAAGUGACUGUAGUAUGAAGAAGCAUGUGUCAUUUUCCUGAUUAAUUUAGCUGGUUCAACUCUGUUGGGUCCCAAGUCUUGGCCAGAACUUGAUGUAAUUAAACUUCUUUAGAAAAUUGAGUACCUUUCUAUGUGGAUUUACAUAUCCCUUUGCCUUAUAGUUUGGCAUAUUAUUGCACUUCAUGUUGACACACUUCUGAUAGCAUGUUUACCUUGGGAUAAGGUUUCUAAUGUUUGCCAAUAUUGCCAAGUAAAAUAAAAUGUCAGUGGCUUGAACACCCAGAUUAUUUGCUACCUUCCUUUUGCAUUACCACUAUAAUUUUCAAAGAAGGAUGCUCUCUAUCUUGUCUCUUUACAGGUUUGUGUGGCGAAAGAAGAUAGAGCGUGAUGUAUCUCAGGGACAGAAGGUGAACAUUUCUGUUAAAUCUGAGAAGAAGAAACAACAAGAAAGAAUGGCUGAAAUAGAAAAGGUUAAGAAAAGAAGAGAAGAAAGAGCUAUUGAAAAGGCACAACAUGAAGAGGAAAUGACAUUGCUAGCUAGAGAAAGAGCACGUGCCGAGUUUCAAGACUGGGAGAAGAAAGAGGAAGAGCAAGGUCAGGUCUGAGAUCAGGUUGCGGGAGGGGCGUACAAAGCCUAUUGAUGUUCUCCUAAAGAAUCUUAAUUUCUCAGAUGAAUUUGACAUUGAAUUAAAUGAGCCCUAUCUGGUGUUCAAGACAGCUGUUGUAUAUUCUGACACCAUCGCACAGUACAUCAAAUGCAUUUUAUAACUUAGCAGUUCCUGAAAUAUGUGUAUUUUGCAAUAAACUGGAGGAUGAGAUGCACGAGGAUGAAGAUGAUAAACGAUAUUCACCUGAGCCUAUACCUCAACAGACAGAUAACCAAUUUGAAGAGGAAGAUGGAUCCUUUUCUCCACAGCUAAUGCAUGGCAACGAAGAUGAAGAUGCAAUUGAUCCUGAAGAAGACAAAGCUGAGCUGGUAGAGUUCUAUGUUUCUAUUUUCUAAUAAUAUUAGUUUAGAAACAUGAUUGGAAGUUCAGAACUGUAAUAGUUAUUCGUUCAAGUGCAGUUAACUGAGUAGUUUAAUUGUCAAGUACAGAUUGUUAGUAAGUGGACUCCAAAUUAUGCAACAAAAGGCUUACUUUUCUCCACAGCUUUUGCAGUCCUCCCUGUGUGUCUUACCCUAAGAGAGGACAUUGAUUCAUUUAGAUCUUA